AAAUGUAAUUUACUUGUAUUGAAAACUAUACACAAUUGACUUAAGUUCUUCUUCCUUGUGACCAAAGAUAAACAGCAAUGAUAAAUAUGAUGACUUGAAAUUCAAAUGCAGUUCUAACUACAUUUUUUUUUUUUAUUAUUAACAUUGCGAGACAGUGGCACACACAAAGCGGUGGGGAGAGGGUAUAGGGGGUCUUCAAAACUUCCGAAAUGUCUUCCUUCACUUCAUUUUUUAAAUCAAAUUUUGCAUUCAACAACAUAAUAUCGUACAUCACAAAAUGUAAUUUCAUCAAAAAUAAUUUAUUCAGUAAUAAUAGUAAUAGUAGGUACUAGGUACUGUACUGAUAAUAAGUACUAUCCUUUCUUGAAAAUUAUUAUAAACAAAACCCCUCCCGAAAAAAAAUCCUGCGUGCGCUACUGUCGCGGAAAUGUUUUUGAACAUUUGUUACUUUGAAACGUCUUUCGCUAUAGGAAACGGCAGUUGUAUAUCUUGUAUGCAUGAUGGCUGUGAAAAUAAGAAUGCUUAUGAAAGGACAGCAAUGCAGGAAAAUAAAAUCGCUGUAAAUUAUAUUUUUACCUACCUAACGUAAAAGAAACAAAAACACCAAUAUUAGUGCAUCUCUCGAGUUAACCUUCGUAUAUUAUAUUGCACAUCGAUAACAUUCCUCGGUUUACUCAAAAUCCAUUACAAUUUAAAAAAAUAUAUAAACGAACUAUAACAUUUUUAUGACCAUUUACAAUUAUAUCUGAUAUAACUAAUUUAUCACUAAAAAAAUACAUUUAU